ensembl:lncRNA
NNNNNNNNNNNNNNNNNNNNNNNNNNNNNNNNNNNNNNNNNNNNNNNNNNNNNNNNNNNNNGCUACGUGUCUUCCGGGGGUGGGAGGGGCCUCGGCCCCCUUCUGGGGCAUUCGGGGGGGUGGGGAGUGGCUGUGCCCUUCCUCCGGGCUUACUACGAGGUUACUCACUCGUUACUCCGGGGUUGCUCCGGGGUUACUCGGGACUUACUCGGGGCUCCCUCGGCCCCGGGGGGCAGCGCUGGGCGAGUGGGGUCCCCCCCACCCCCUUCCCUGCUCGCUCCUGAGGCUGUGGCUACUCCGUGGCCUUACUCUGGGUUUACUCCCCCUUUACACCGAGGAGCUGAGGCCGUGCUGUGGGGCUGCCUCUGCCCUACUCCAGCCUUAUUUCAGCACUACGCUGUCCCUGCUCUCUCGCGUUACCCAGCUCCUCCUUAUUUUAUGGUUACUCAGCUCCUGCUCCAGGGUUACUCCACCACUACUCAGCCACGGGUCAGGGUCUGCCCCCCUAAUCCAGGGUUAUUUAUGGGGGGGGGGGCCUUACAGUGGGCUUACUCGGCCCUUACUUUGGGCAUAUUUGGUACUUUAUCACUACUUGUACCUUACUCCAGGGUUACUUGUGGGUGUCAUUACACUGGGCUAUGUCAGCCCUUCGUUUGGGGUUAUUCGGUACUUUAUCACUACUUGGACCUUACUCCAGGGUUACUCAGCCCUCUCUCCACCUGCAUCCUUUGCCUUUACUCAGCUCCCACGUCCUCACUACUCAGCCUUUCCUCUGAGGUUAUGCGCUCGCUCCUUGCUCCUUUGUAGCUACUCAGACUUUAGUCAGCCCGUGCUAUUUAAGGCUUUACUCCCCCAUUGUCCCUUCCUCAGGCACUACUCCAGCGUUACACACAUCUCAGCCUGCCUCUUUUUACUCAGAGGCUACUCAGCCCUUACUGACAGGUUACUUACAGGCUCUCAACACACUGGUAACUGGGCUCCUGUGGAGGCUCCUCAGUGGCUUACCCAGAGGGGACUUAGGCCUUGCUCCACACUUACUCAUUACGUAGUCGACCUUCUUAUAGGCCCUUUGGCUCCCCUUGUGAUACUCAAGGCUUACUCAGAGGUUUCUCAGCCCCUGCAGUGCCUUUACUCAGAGGUUUCUUGGGUUCCGCUCUGGUUUUUCUUGCUUGCUGCACUUUCAGUUCCUUACUCUAAGGUUACUCAGCCAAUUUCCACUGCUCGCUGUGGCACUACUCAUUGUUUCCUCUGAGGUGUCUCUGCCCCUAGGGUUGGGCCAGAACCCGGGGGGGGGGGGGUGUCACCUCUGUUACUCCAGGGGUGCUCAGUCCUUACUACAGGCCGUAACUGGGGCAGGUGUGACAUUGUUAGCCACUACUACAGGUCACAGCAGAUACACAGAGGUUGCUCGGCCCUUACUCUGAGGCCAUACAAGCGUUACUCCCACGCCAGCCAUUGCUCUGAAGUUACUCAGCCCUUCCUCAGAGCCCACCACUCUGCUGCAAGGGGGGGGUCCACACUACUCCGAGGCGAAAGGCUACUCCAAACCUACUCCCACUUUACUCAUAAGUUACACACACUUUGGUGUUUCUCCACACUCCACGGUUACUCCCACUUCACUCUGCACCUGAAAACACCUUACUCCGAGGUCUCACCUUACUCCCAGGCUACUCCCGCUU